rnacentral:lncRNA from 1 species
UGCGUGGGGGAAGACAGGGUUUGUGCCAGCAACCCCAGAACUGUGCAAACACCGGGCAGCUGUACUUUGGUGAAGGCUCCAAGCUGACAGUGCUGGGUAAGCAGGGCAGGUGGAGGGGUACUGGGGGGGUGGUUAAGAUGGACAGAGUAGGAAAGCAGCUCAGCUUCCUCUUGGCCUGAGCUGACCUGCUAUGGCAGGGAAUUCUGCGAUCAAGAGAACACUCACGGUUGAUGGGGAGCUGAGCCGGGGCUGGGAUAGCAGGAGUGGGCAGCACCGGGUUUUUGCCCUGAGUCUGGAGGCUGUGAGCACAGAAACUCAGUAUUUUGGCCCUGGAACCAAACUGACCGUGCUCGGUAAGUUUGGAGCUAGUGAUAGGGGUGGGGGUAGCGGGACAUCUCCUUACCGGGGAUUUCCAGGUAAGGAUGGCCAGGGCCAGUUUUUGUGCUGUACCAAGGGGCUGUGAGCCAAAACACCUUGUACUUCGGUGCAGGCACCCGACUCUCAGUGCUAGGUGAGUCGGGGUGUUUUUGUGCUGGGCUCUGGUGCUGUGAACCAAGAUACCCAGUACUUUGGGCCAGGCACGCGGCUCCUCGUGUUAGGUGAGCUGGGGACCCGAGCGUGACGGUGGCGGCGGGCUGGGGCUGCAGUGGGCUCGGGUGCCUUGGAUGGGUUUCUGUGGGGCGUCACCCGGUUAUGCUUCGCAGCCCUUGCCUUAACUUUACGUGAGUUUCUUGGCAACUGCUGCGGCUCGAGCCCCAGGGCUGCUGGCGUCUUUGCACUGGGGUCCCUGGCCCUGCGGGAGGCUGGGUAACAGGGAGAUUGUCCUGAAGCAGGGGACUAGCUCCCUGCAUUGCGCGGGUUUGCGUGUGGGGUUGCGCCUCUGUGCUCCUAUGAGCAGUAUUUCGGUCCGGGCACCAGGCUCACGGUCUUAGCUCCGGAUACAGAUAACCCAGCUACAGCAGGAUAUUCUGGAUUCUUCUAUCAGUUCUGGAAGUCAGUGCUGUAAUUCCUCUUUGCAAGCAGAAAACAAAACAAACGAACAAAAAGCCGAUGCAGAGCCAUUAAAGAGACUCUCUCAUGAGCACAUGGGCAUGGAAGGUCAUUGCUGAGAUUCAGUUUCUGUAAUUCAAAUUUCU